AGUGAACGCUGGCGGUAGGCCUAACACAUGCAAGUCGAACGGCAGCACAGUAAGAGCUUGCUCUUACGGGUGGCGAGUGGCGGACGGGUGAGGAAUACAUCGGAAUCUACUUUUUCGUGGGGGAUAACGUAGGGAAACUUACGCUAAUACCGCAUACGACCUACGGGUGAAAGCAGGGGAUCUUCGGACCUUGCGCGAUUGAAUGAGCCGAUGUCGGAUUAGCUAGUUGGCGGGGUAAAGGCCCACCAAGGCGACGAUCCGUAGCUGGUCUGAGAGGAAGAUCAGCCACACUGGAACUGAGACACGGUCCAGACUCCUACGGGAGGCAGCAGUGGGGAAUAUUGGACAAUAGGCGCAAGCCUGAUCCAGCCAUACCGCGUGGGUGAAGAAGGCCUUCGGGUUGUAAAGCCCUUUUGUUGGGAAAGAAAAGCAGCAGGUUAAUACCCCGCUGUUCUGACGGUACCCAAAGAAUAAGCACCGGCUAACUUCGUG
rnacentral:rRNA from 1 species